UACGGAGGAUGCAAGCGUUAUCCGGAAUGAUUGGGCGUAAAGCGUCCGCAGGUGGCAAUGUAAGUCUGCUGUUAAAGAGUCUAGCUCAACUAGAUAAGAGCAGUGGAAACUACAUAGCUAGAGUACGUUCGGGGCAGAGGGAAUUCCUGGUGUAGCGGUGAAAUGCGCAGAUAUCUGGAGGAACACCGGUGGCGAAGGCGGCAUCCUGGACCGACACUGACACUGAGGAGCGAAAGCCAGGGGAGCAAACGGG
rnacentral:rRNA from 1 species